UCCGUAGGUGAACCUGCGGAAGAAUCAUUU
rnacentral:rRNA from 1 species